rnacentral:rRNA from 2 species
AGAGUUUGAUCCUGGCUCAGAACGAACGCUGGCGGCAGGCUUAACACAUGCAAGUCGAACGCACCGCAAGGUGAGUGGCAGACGGGUGAGUAACGCGUGGGAACGUGCCCUUCAGUUCGGGAUAACCCAGGGAAACUUGGGCUAAUACCGGAUACGUGCGAGAGCAGAAAGAUUCAUCGCUGAAGGAUCGGCCCGCGUCUGAUUAGCUAGUUGGUAGGGUAAUGGCCUACCAAGGCGACGAUCAGUAGCUGGUCUGAGAGGAUGAUCAGCCACAUUGGGACUGAGACACGGCCCAAACUCCUACGGGAGGCAGCAGUGGGGAAUAUUGGACAAUGGGCGCAAGCCUGAUCCAGCCAUGCCGCGUGAGUGAUGAAGGCCUUAGGGUUGUAAAGCUCUUUCGUCCGGGACGAUAAUGACGGUACCGGAAGAAGAAGCCCCGGCUAACUUCGUGCCAGCAGCCGCGGUAAUACGAAGGGGGCUAGCGUUGUUCGGAAUCACUGGGCGUAAAGGGCGCGUAGGCGGCCUGAUAAGUCGGGGGUGAAAGCCUGUGGCUCAACCACAGAAUUGCCUUCGAUACUGUCGGGCUUGAGACCGGAAGAGGUAAGUGGAACUGCGAGUGUAGAGGUGAAAUUCGUAGAUAUUCGCAAGAACACCAGUGGCGAAGGCGGCUUACUGGUCCGGUUCUGACGCUGAGGCGCGAAAGCGUGGGGAGCAAACAGGAUUAGAUACCCCGGUAGUCC